UACAGAGGGGGCAAGCGUUGUUCGGAAUUACUGGGCGUAAAGGGCGCGUAGGCGGCCUUCUAAGUCGAACGUGAAAUCCCCGGGCUCAACCCGGGAACUGCGUCCGAUACUGGGAGGCUUGAAUCCGGGAGAGGGAUGUGGAAUUCCAGGUGUAGCGGUGAAAUGCGUAGAUAUCUGGAGGAACACCGGUGGCGAAGGCGGCAUCCUGGACCGGCACUGACGCUGAGGAGCGAAAGCGUGGGUAGCAAACAGG
rnacentral:rRNA from 1 species